rnacentral:rRNA from 1 species
GAUGAACGCUGGCGGCGUGCCUAAUACAUGCAAGUCGAGCGAACAGACGAGGAGCUUGCUCCUCUGACGUUAGCGGCGGACGGGUGAGUAACACGUGGAUAACCUACCUAUAAGACUGGGAUUACUUCGGGAAACCGGAGCUAAUACCGGAUAAUAUAUUGAACCGCAUGGUUCAAUAGUUAAAUACGGUUUUGCUGUCACUAAUAGAUGGAUCCGCGCCGCAUUAGCUAGUUGGUAAGGUAACGGCUUACCAAGGCAACGAUGCGUAGCCGACCUGAGAGGGUGAUCGGCCACACUGGAACUGAGACACGGUCCAGACUCCUACGGGAGGCAGCAGUAGGGAAUCUUCCGCAAUGGGCGAAAGCUUGACGGAGCAACGCCGCGUGAGUGAUGAAGGUCUUCGGAUCGUAAAACUCUGUUAUUAGGGAAGAACAAAUGUGUAAGUAACUAUGCACGUCUUGACGGUACCUAAUCAGAAAGCCACGGCUAACUACGUG